AGGUUCGCAUAACAGCGAUUAAAAGGGAAUGGGGUGAAAAUCCCCAACUGUCCCGCAGCUGUAAGUUCCUUUAUCAUUCGCAAGCAAAAUACCACUGCCACACCCCUGGCGUUAUACAUGAAACAGCUAUAACCACAGGAAGGCGGGAAGGGGCUUGCGGACGGAACGAAGUCAGAAGACCUGCCACAUCAA
rnacentral:ncRNA from 1 species